rnacentral:rRNA from 1 species
UAUCUCUGUAGAGUCUGCAUAUCAAUAAGCGGAGAAAAGAAACUAACAAGGAUUCCCCUAGUAACGGCGAGUGAAGCGGGAAGAGCUCAAAUUUGAAAUCUUAAAGGGUUUCCCUUUACGAAUUGUAGUUUAAAGAAGUGUUUUCUGUUGAGGUUUUGGUAAAAGUUCUUUGGAAUAGGACAUCAUAGAGGGUGAGAAUCCCGUAUUUGACCUUUACUUUCAACUUUGUGAUACACUUUCAAAGAGUCGGAUUGUUUGGGAAUGCAGUCCAAAAUGGGUGGUAAAUUUCAUCUAAAGCUAAAUAUUGGCGAGAGACCGAUAGCGAACAAGUACCGUGAGGGAAAGAUGAAAAGAACUUUGAAAAGAGAGUUAAACAGUACGUGAAAUUGUCAAAAGGGAAGCGUUUGACACCAGUGUUGUUUUUCUGAAAAUCAAUUAAAGAACUGUUUAUGCUAAGUUGUUUAGACUUUAUCAGCUAACUGUUUAGUUUUGAGCUUUUCUUUAAUGCACUUUUCAGUUAACAAGUCAACAUCAAUUUCUUUUGCUGUAAAAAAGCUUGAGGAAGGUGGCUUGAGAUUCGUCUUAAGUGUUUAUAGCCUCUUGCCUAUGCAGUCGGAGAGAUUGAGGUCUGCAGCGUAGAUCCUUCGGGGCUAAAUGCAUUUGUGCUAAGUUAUAGCAUUUUAUAGACAACUUGUUGACUAUGAUUUGUCUUGUAGCUUACUCGCUUAUGUUAUUUUACCUACGCUUAGGAUGUUGACGAUCAGCUGAGCGCG